rnacentral:rRNA from 1 species
AUGCCGUCGAUUGACAAGGCCACCGACAACGGUGAGCUAAAGCAGAGGCAGCCGGAGCAGGAGCUGGUCUGCGUCACGGGCGCGGGAGGCUUCAUCGGCUCGUGGGUGGUGAAGGAGCUCCUCCUCCGUGGCUACCGCGUCAGGGGAACUGCCAGGGACCUCGUGGUUUCUGCAUCUGACCGCAAGAACGCACAGCUGCUGGCCCUGCAGGGUGCCCAUGAGAGGCUCACCCUGUGCCGCGCCAAUGUCCUCGACUACGACGGCCUCCGCGCCGCCUUCCGCGGCUGCAAGGGCGUCUUCCACGUUGCCUCGUCAGUAUCCAACGACCCCGCCAGUUCACUUCCUCUACUCUGCUUACUUCUCGAAGUUUCGGGCUUUCUGCAAGGGCCGCGUACUUACCUGCUACAUCUACAUGUGCUGCUGGUUUUGCAGGACCUCGUGCCGGUCACCGUAGAGGGCACCAGGAACGUGAUCAGCGCGGCCGCGGACGCCGACGUGCGGCGUGUGGUGUUCACGUCGUCCUACGGCGCCGUGCACAUGGACCCUAACCGCAGCCCCGACACCGUGCUCGACGAGACCUGUUGGAGUGACUAUGACUUCUGCAAAAGCACAGGCCUCCGCCACUGCUGUUGCGCGAAGAUGAUGGCGGAGAUCACGGCGACGGAGGAGGCAGCCAAGAGGGGGUUGGAGCUGGCGGUGGUGGUGCCGUCCAUGACCAUGGGCCCCAUGCUACAGCCGGCGCUCAACUUCAGCAGCAACCACGUAGCCCGCUACCUCACCGGCGCCGAGCCCACCUACCCCAACGCCGUCGCCACCUACACCGACGUCCACGACGUCACCCACGCCCACGUCCUUGUCUAUGAGCAUCCCGAGGCUUGCGGCCGCUACCUCUGCAUCGGCGCUGUGCUGCAUCGCACACACUUCCUCCAGCUCCUCAGCGAGCUCUUUUCGCAGUACCACAUCACCGCCAAGUGUGAAGACGAUGGCAAGCCAAUGGCGAAGCCCUACAAGUUCUCCAACCGGAGGCUCACGGACCUGGGAUUGGAGUUCACUCCAGUGAGGGAAAGUUUGUACGAGAGGGUGACGUGCUUGCAGAAAAAGGGCCACCUGCCUCUGCCCGUUGAUCCCCUGGCGCCAAAGUGUGCCUACUUGUAA